CCUACGGGUGGCAGCAGUGAGGAAUAUUGGUCAAUGGCCGGAAGGCUGAACCAGCCAUGCCGCGUGCAGGUCAGUGCCCUAUGGGCGUUAAACCUCUUUUGUGCGGGAGCAAUAAUGGUCACGUGUGGCCAGACGAGAGUACCGUACGAAUAAGCAUCGGCUAACUCCGUGCCAGCAGCCGCGGUGAUACGGGGGAUGUAAGCGUUAUCCGGAUUUAUUGGGUGUGAAGGGUGCGUAGGCUGUGAGGUAAGUCAGCGGUGAAAUGCCCCCGCUCACCGGGGUGAAGUGCCAUUGAUACUGCCAUGCUGGAAUGCGGAUGCCGUGGGAGGAAUGUGUGGUGUAGCGGUGAAAUGCAUAGAUAUCACACAGAACACCGAUUGCGAAGGCAUCUCACGAAUCCGCGAUUGACGCUGAUGCACGAAAGCGUGGGUAUCAAACAGGAUUAGAUACCCCAGUAGUC
rnacentral:rRNA from 1 species